rnacentral:rRNA from 1 species
AUUGAACGCUGGCGGCAGGCCUAACACAUGCAAGUCGAGCGGAUGAAGGGAGCUUGCUCCUGGCUUCAGCGGCGGACGGGUGAGUAAUGCCUAGGAAUCUGCCUGGUCGUGGGGGAUUACGUCCGGAAACGGGCGCUAAUACCGCAUACGUCCUGAGGGAGAAAGUGGGGGAUCUUCGGACCUCACGCUAUCAGAUGAGCCUAGGUCGGAUUAGCUAGUUGGUGGGGUAAAGGCCUACCAAGGCGACGAUCCGUAACUGGUCUGAGAGGAUGAUCAGUCACACUGGAACUGGGACACGGUCCAGACUCCUACGGGAGGCAGCAGUGGGGAAUAGUGGACAAAGGGCGAAAGCCUGAUCCAGCCAUGCCGCGUGUGUGAAGAAGGUCUUCGGAUUGUAAAGCACUUUAAGUUGUGAGAAAGGGCAGUAAGUUAAUACCUUGCUGUUUUGACGGUACCAACAGAAUAAGCACCGGCUAACUUCGUG